GUCCACGCUGUAAACGAUGGAUGCUAGCCGUCAGCAAGCAUGCUUGUUGGUGGCGCAGCUAACGCAUUAAGCAUCCCGCCUGGGGAGUACGGCCGCAAGGUUAAACUCAAAGGAAUUGACGGGGGCCCGCACAAGCGGUGGAGCAUGUGGUUUAAUUCGACGCAACGCGAAGAACCUUACCAGCCCUUGACAUGCCCGGACGGUUUCCAGAGAUGGAUUCCUCCUAGCAAUAGGUCGGGACACAGGUGCUGCAUGGCUGUCGU
rnacentral:rRNA from 1 species